UUGUUGUGGUUGGUACAGAC
rnacentral:misc_RNA from 1 species